UGAAAGUCUGUCGCGUUCCUUGGUGUGGUGUCGGUGAGAAAAGAAGAGCCGCCUCCGCCUCCGCUUGCUCCUUGGGAUCUAGGCGUUCCGGCCGCUGCUACCGCCGCGAAGCCAUAAGCCGCUCCUCCGACCCACCGAGGGACGAGGUAGCUUGCGUCCGGCGCCAGCUCCUCCUCCCUGCGGCCGAGUACGCGGGGGCGGUCUAGAGUUGGCUCAAGAAGCCGCUCGUACGAGCACGUGGGAGACGUGCGGUCCAUGUCGUCUUCUUCCUCCUCGACAUACUCCGCCACAGAUUCCGCCUUGUCUUCUUCGUCCUCGACGAGUUAAACUACCGAUUACUCGUCGUAAAAAGACGUGUUAGGUGAGUUCCUGUUCGACGGGGAGACGGGACCUUCCACAUGAGCUUUUCCCGAGCCCCACACGAUCUACAUCGAACGUUCCGCUGUAAAAAGCAGAUACGACCACGAAAAGACGAGCCAUAGUGACCGUGGCCGUCCUACGACCCCGAUUGUUCGGUUCAGCGGUCAGUUCUGCUCUAGCUGCUAACUCUUGGUUAGUUCCUGUCCGGGUCAAGUUAAGACUGGGGACGUCAAACCAAUCGAUCGUGGUGGUACGAUACCAACACUAUAAACAGACUGUACCACAGUACAACAAAAUAGAAAAUAUAGACAACCUCACUUUGGCAUUUCUGAACCACACCUGUACGUAAUGUAUCGCGAACAACAUACAAUGGCGUCCCCAUGCAGUGACCGUUAGCAACAACCACAAUCUUAACGAUCUAAUAUUGACGGAAUUCGUCAAUAAAUCACGGGUUUCACAACACGUCUGCGUGCGGAAGAGACACAUUCCAGCGGACAAGGGAUGCUUCUCCGUGGAUAAGCAAGUUCUCCGCGGAGGAGAACAUUUUGUCUGCCCUUAGGAACACAUUUAUGGAGCCUCAGUCACUAGUUACUUAGUGUUCAGGAAAG
rnacentral:rRNA from 1 species